rnacentral:lncRNA from 1 species
UUCUGCAUCAUUUCACCAACGGCUUCUCUAGAGAGACAUGGGUAUCGGAGUAAAUCAGAUUUGAUCACUCCAAGAGAUAUACAUAAAUCAUGUAAUGCCAAUUAUGUUGCUCACAAAUCUAUAAUGCAUCUCCUGUCCCCCUGAACUCAACCACUCAACCUUGAACAUAAUUGUGGAAGCAAAACACACACACACACAAACACAAGAAUCAUUGGAAGAAUUUUUUUCAAUUUAGAACUGUUAUGGGGAAUAUCCCGGCCACACUACUUUAGACGACGUAAAGAAUAAAACUCAAUCACAAUCAUAAGUUGGCUAAAUAGUAAACUUAAAGGAUAUCAGAGCACUCAACUACACGUGCACUCAAGGAAAUGAACUCCAACAGAUUUCCCUGCUGAAAAUGUCUAUAUAUAGAGGUCUCCUUUCACAAGUAAUCCUCUUUUAC